rnacentral:rRNA from 1 species
CAUGCAAGUCGAGCGGGCAAUUUAUCUAGCACUGAUUACUUCAUUAGGCUAUCGCCAGUGUUUACAUGAAUUUCUACUCUAUAAUAAAGAAAAAAAGAAAUUCAUGUACGCAAAUAGUGAUAACACAUUUUAGUGAAGUGAUGAGUGCUGGAUAAAUUGCUAGCGGCGGACGGGUGCGUAACACGUGGGUAACCUGCCCCUAUCACUGGGAUAACACACUGAAAAGUGUGCUAAUACCAGAUAACAUAAGCUUUUGGCAUCAUUAGCUUAUCAAAGAGUUUCGGAUAGGGAUGGGCCCGCGUCUGAUUAGCUAGUUGGUGAGGUAACGGCUCACCAAGGCAACGAUCAGUAGCCGACCUGAGAGGGUGAUCGGCCACACUGGAACUGAGACACGGUCCAGACUCCUACGGGAGGCAGCAGUGGGGAAUAUUGCACAAUGGGCGAAAGCCUGAUGCAGCAACGCCGCGUGAGCGAUGAAGGCCUUCGGGUCGUAAAGCUCUGUCCUAUGGGAAGAUAAUGACGGUACCAUAGGAGGAAGCCCCGGCUAACUACGUGCCAGCAGCCGCGGUAAUACGUAGGGGGCAAGCGUUAUCCGGAAUUACUGGGCGUAAAGGGUGCGUAGGCGGUUUAUCAAGUCAGGGGUGAAAGGCUACGGCUCAACCGUAGUGAGCCUCUGAAACUGGUGAACUUGAGUGUAGGAGAGGAAAGUGGAAUUCCCAGUGUAGCGGUGAAAUGCGUAGAUAUUGGGAGGAACACCAGUGGCGAAGGCGACUUUCUGGACUACAACUGACGCUGAGGCACGAAAGCGUGGGGAGCAAACAGGAUUAGAUACCCUGGUAGUCCACGCUGUAAACGAUGAGUACUAGGUGUCGGCUGUCAAAGGUCGGUGCCGGCGUUAACACAUUAAGUACUCCGCCUGGGGAGUACGCUCGCAAGAGUGAAACUCA